rnacentral:lncRNA from 1 species
ACUGCUUUCUCUGCUCGUUGCUCCUUUCACGGCCGCCACCACAGUUCAAACUUCCCGCGCGGCCGCCUUCCUCGCGGGAGGCCCAACGGCAGCCUCAGCUCCGCCUCCCGGGCCGCGGGGGGCCGGCGCCCAAAUAAAUAAAUAAACACAAAUCAGGGGAGGGAGGACUGCAGGCGGGUUGAGGGAGCCCUGGGUGGAGAGCGGGCUCGGNNNNNNNNNNNNNNNNNNNNNNNNNNNNNNGUGGGCGAGGGGGUCAGGUGGCAAGCCGGGGGGGGGGGGAACAACAGUGAGUCCGACGUCUGAGGAAACGUCCCUAAGCUUUAGCGUGGCGACUUUUGGUUUGUGCGGCGAGAGCUUUCCGAAGCGGAGAAGCCCGCCUCCAGGAGACUGGCCAUUAUGACCUCUUGGUGAUGCUGCCUGGGUUAAGAAGAGAGACUGGCCAUUGUGAUGUCCUGCAGAUGCUGCAUCCCUGAACAAAGAGAGGUAGGAUAUUAUAAAGUUAUGAUGCUGUCAUCUACCUGAAGGAGUGUCUGGUAUGUAUCUUCCUGUCCUGUUUCUUCCUGCCUAAGGAAAAGCAGCUAGCCCUCAUUACCUUGAAAUGUCUGCCUGCCUGCUUGAUAGUUUGCCACCCUACAGCUUCUCAUCUGAAGGAGAAUCGAAGAAAACCCAAUGUUGUGUUUCCUGUAACUUUGAAAGGAGUGUUUGUGAGAGAAAACAAGCAAGUGGAGUCCAGAUUAAAGGCAACACAAUUCUAGUCAUGAGGAAGCAGCAAGAGGAAUUUAAGUGAACUGGCAAGAGGAAUUAAGUGCCAAACCAGCAGAGCACUGGGUAUAUUAUGUUC